rnacentral:rRNA from 1 species
AGAGUUUGAUCCUGGCUCAGAUUGAACGCUGGCGGCAUGCCUUACACAUGCAAGUCGAACGGCAGCACGGGAGCAAUCCUGGUGGCGAGUGGCGAACGGGCGAGUAAUAUAUCGGAACGUGCCCAGUCGUGGGGGAUAACGCAGCGAAAGCUGUGCUAAUACCGCAUACGAUCUAUGGAUGAAAGCGGGGGACCCGUAAGGGCCUCGCGCGAUUGGAGCGGCCGAUAUCAGAUUAGGUAGUUGGUGUGGUAAAAGCGCACCAAGCCGACGAUCUGUAGCUGGUCUGAGAGGACGACCAGCCACACUGGAACUGAGACACGGUCCAGACUCCUACGGGAGGCAGCAGUGGGGAAUUUUGGACAAUGGGCGCAAGCCUGAUCCAGCAAUGCCGCGUGCAGGAUGAAGGCCUUCGGGUUGUAAACUGCUUUUGUACGGAACGAAACGGUCUACUUUAAUACAGUGGGCUAAUGACGGUACCGUAAGAAUAAGCACCGGCUAACUACGUGCCAGCAGCCGCGGUAAUACGUAGGGUGCGAGCGUUAAUCGGAAUUACUGGGCGUAAAGCGUGCGCAGGCGGUUAUAUAAGACAGAUGUGAAAUCCCCGGGCUCAACCUGGGACCUGCAUUUGUGACUGUAUAGCUAGAGUACGGUAGAGGGGGAUGGAAUUCCGCGUGUAGCAGUGAAAUGCGUAGAUAUGCGGAGGAACACCGAUGGCGAAGGCAAUCCCCUGGACCUGUACUGACGCUCAUGCACGAAAGCGUGGGGAGCAAACAGGAUUAGAUACCCUGGUAGUCCACGCCCUAAACGAUGUCAACUGGUUGUUGGGUCUUUACUGACUCAGUAACGAAGCUAACGCGUGAAGUUGACCGCCUGGGGAGUACGGCCGCAAGGUUG